AACGAACGCUGGCGGCAGGCUUAACGCAUGCAAGUCGAACGCCCCGCAAGGGGAGUGGCAGACGGGUGAGUAACACGUGGGAACGUGCCCUUCGCUACGGAAUAUUCCCGGGAAACUGGGAGCAAUGCCGUAUACGCCGUAUUGGGAAAGAUUUAUCGGCGAAGGAUCGGCCCGCGUUGGAUUAGGUAGUUGGCGGUGUAAUGGACCACCAAGCCUACGAUCCAUAGCUGGUCUGAGAGGACGACCAGCCACACUGGGACUGAGACACGGCCCAGACGCCUACGGGGGGCAGCAGUGGGGAAUCUUGGACAAUGGGCGCAAGCCUGAUCCAGCCAUGCCGCGUGAGUGAAGAAGGCCUUAGGGUUGUAAAACUCUUUCGCCGGAGAAGAUAAUGACGGUAUCCGGAGAAGAAGCCCCGGCUAACUUCGUGCCAGCCGCCGCCGUAACAC
rnacentral:rRNA from 1 species